CUGUAGCGCGAUGGAUAGCGCAUUAGACUUCUAAUCUGAUGGCCGUGGGUUCGAAACCCACCCGGAAAGG